rnacentral:hammerhead_ribozyme from 1 species
GCACUGCUGAGGAGUCUCAUGCUGGGACGAAACGGCCGUCCUGUGC